GGAAAUGUAGCUCAGUGGUAGAGCUCUUACCUAACGUGUGCAAGGCCCUGGGUUCCAUCCCCAGCACAUCCA
rnacentral:tRNA from 1 species